UACGUAGGGUGCGAGCGUUGUCCGGAAUUAUUGGGCGUAAAGGGCUCGUAGGCGGUUUGUCGCGUCGGGAGUGAAAACGCCGUGCUUAACACGGCGCUUGCUUUCGAUACGGGCAGACUAGAGGUAUGCAGGGGAGAACGGAAUUCCUGGUGUGGCGGUGAAAUGCGCAGAUAUCAGGAGGAACACCGGUGGCGAAGGCGGUUCUCUGGGCAUUACCUGACGCUGAGGAGCGAAAGUGUGGGGAGCGAACAGG
rnacentral:rRNA from 1 species